UAAUAACACAACAAGGGGUCCUAAAGCCUCAUCCGCACAACACAGUCCGUCCUUCACCCUCUGACACUCACCCCACGCUCUGUCUUGUGCUGCAAAUCCACUCUCUCCGGGUCUCCAUCCCUUCAUCUGAUCCUCAGUAAUCAGAUUACUGCCGCGCACCUGAACGCGCCCUAUCAUGUCAGACAACGAGGAAGUGGUGGAGGAGUAUGAGGAGGAGGUGGAAGAAGAGGAGGCCGCUGAAGAGGAGAAAGGGGUAGAUGAGGAGGAG